GCGGGUAUGGCGGAAUAGGCAGACGCGAAGGACUUAAAAUCCUUUGGUAGCAAUACCGUGCCGGUUCAAGUCCGGCUACCCGCA
rnacentral:tRNA from 1 species